GAAACAUUUUUUCCUCUGAUCAUUUAAAAUUAACUUUUUUUCUUUCUAAUUAUAUUGGCUGAUUUUUUCCAAAUGGCUCUUAUGGAUUUCUAUUUAAUGUCUCACACUUUCCUACUGUAGUUGGUUAAGCAGGCAUUGUUAUCCUAGUUUUCUCAAUGAGGUAAGGGGGUAUCAGAGAAGUUGAAAUAAUUCAAAUAUUUGGCACAGCUGUAGGAGUGAAGAAAAGUGGUAAACACCUGAGUCUGUCUCUUGAGUCAGUAAUCUCUCCUCUACUCUAGUAAAAUUCAAUGUCUUGCUCCAUAAACCCUUGCUCUCUUCUUGUAACUCCAAACACUCCAUAGCAAUGGGUUGUGGGCAUUUGAAAAAUUUCAACUUGCUAACAAAUGGCCAUUUGCUGAGUCCUAAAUUUAUGGUAGGCACAGUGCCAAGCACAUUAGAUGCAUAAUUAAUGCUCAAGGUACACUAUAUUACAGAUGUCUUCAUCUCAUUUUACAGAUAAGGAUAAUUGACUUUUGAAGAAGUUAAAUACCUAGCCCAAAGCCACAUAGCUACUCUCAAAUGAACACCAGGAAAAUUUUAUCUUCCCUAAUACAUGCCAGAAAUUUGGGAAAGGAAGACCAAGAAUUUAUUCUACUCAUCAAGAGUGAGGUUUUAAAUGUGCAUCACUUUUUCAUAUUUGAAAAAAAGAAAUUAAUGGAGAAGGAGGCAGAAGGAUGCCUGAGAAUCAAGGUAGCAUUGUUUAUUCCCUCAACUUUUCAAAUGGGCUGUUAGUUCAUUGAGUGGCAAAGCCAUGCCUGAUUUAUCUUUUAGUUCCAAUUGGUCUGUUAAUUUGAGAACAGUAGAAGCUCAUUACAUAUUUGUGAAAAGAAUAUUUUAGAAGCAGAAUUUUGAAAAACUUGUGUAUGUGUAACUGUCCCCUUCAGGGAUCUGCUUGUAUUUUCUUGGCUCUCCAUUGCUCCUGUACACAACCUUGCCUUCAUAUUAUAGACUUCUGCUGCUCCCUGCCUUAAGGCUUUUUCCUGGAACAAGAGCAGAUGAGAAUACUAAGGCACUAGUUGAUUAAGCAGUGUGCUCGGACAUCACAGAUGAUCAACAUUGAGAAAAGGUCUUGCUCUAAUUAUGAUUAAAAUAAUUGAUUUACCAUCAGAAUGCUUGUUGAAUAUGAUACUUUGGAGACUUGAGUAUAUUAUUUUGCUUAAGUAAUGCAAAUGUGUGCAUUUAUUAUUCAGUAUAUGUGAUCACAACAUUUAUAACAAAAGCAACUUGUGUAUAGGGAUGCUGCCAAAUAUCUGGCAAACUUGGACUGUGAAGAGCUAGUUUGUGUAAAUUUUGGCUUUCAAUAAAGCACAAGGACAUGUA